UACGUAGGUGACCAGCGUUGUCCGGAUUUACUGGGCGUAAAGAGCGCGCAGGCGGUCGUUCAAGUCGAGUGUGAAAGCCCCCGGUUCAACUGGGGAGGGUCACUCGAUACUGAUCGACUUGAAGGCAGGAGAGGGAAGCGGAAUUCCCGGUGUAGUGGUGAAAUGCGUAGAUAUCGGGAGGAACACCGGCGGUGUAGACGGCUUGCUAGACCAUAACUGACGCUGAGGCACGAAAGCGUGGGUAGCAAACAGG
rnacentral:rRNA from 1 species